ACCCCUGUGAAAACGCCCUUAAAUCCCCAAUAGGGAUAAGGAGCCGGUAUCAGGCACAUCUAAAUAGCCCAAAACACCUAGCUAUGCCACACCCACAAGGGACCUCAGCAGUGAUUAACAUUGAACAUCAGCGACAGCUUGAUUCAGUUAAAGUAAAUAGAGCCGGCUAAUCUGGUGCCAGCCGCCGCGGUUACACCACGUGGCUCAAAUUGAUUUUUAUCGGCGUAAAGAGUGAUUUAAGAGCCCUAAAAAUUUGGCGUCAAAUUUAUAUUAAGCUGUGACACGCUUGUUCUUUAGAAGACCUAAAACGAAAGUUACCCCAACUAAACCAACUUGAACUCACGACAACCAAGGGACAAACUGGGAUUAGAUACCCCACUAUGCUUGGCAGUAAACCUUAAAUUACACCAAAAUCGCCUGGGAACUACGAGCAAAGCUUAAAACCCAAAGGACUUGACGGUACCCCAAAUCCACCUAGAGGAGCCUGUCCUAUAAUCGAUAAUCCCCGUUUUACCUCACCAUUUUUAGCCAAUCAGCCUGUAUACCUCCGUCGUCAGCUUACCACGUGAGCGGAAUAUAGUGAGCAUAAUGCCAUUUCACCAAAACGUCAGGUCAAGGUGCAACUUAUAAAAUGGAAAGAGAUGGGCUACACUCCCUAACCUAGGGCACACGAAAAACUACCUAUGAAAUCUAGUUUGAAGGCGGAUUUAGAAGUAAAAAGAAACCAGAGUGUUCCUUUUAACUCGGCACUGGGGUGUGUACACACCGCCCGUCACCCUCUUCAAAGUCUUAUCAAAGUUUUUAACUCUAAUGUAACUAAACAGAAGAGGCAAGUCGUAACANNNNNNNNNNNNNNNNNNNNNNNNUUGGAACCACAAUAUAGCUUAACUUUAAAGCACCCCGCUUACACCGGGCAAAUCUCUGUUAAACCCAGAUUAUUGUGAGCCAACCUUCUAGCCCUAAUUUUCCUUAUACUACCCCUUCAACCCUACACACUAACUAAAACAUUUUAACAGCUUAGUAAGGGAGAUUAAAAAACUCUUAGGCGCUACAAAAAGAGUACCGCAAGGGAAAGAUGAAAUAAAAAUGAAACAAAUUUUAAGCAAAAAACAGUAAAGACUAACUCUUGUACCUUUUGCAUCAUGGUUUAACUAGUCAAAUCAGGCAAAAAGAUCUUUAGUUUGACCCCCCGAAACUAAACGAGCUACUUUGAGGCAGCUUACAGAGCUAACCCGUCUCUGUUGCAAAAGAGUGGGAAGACCUCUAAGUAGGGGUGACAGACCUACCGAGUUUAGUGAUAGCUGGUUGCUUGAGAAAAGGACAUAAAUCCACACUAAAUUAAUCCUUAUACAAAAAAAUUAUCUUUAAUUUAGAUUCAUUCAAGUAAGGUACAGCCUGCUUGAAAAAGGACACAACCUCCCCCUAUGGGUAAUUAAUGCAUCAUCCUUAGCUAAGUGGGCCUAAAAGCAGCCACCUUAACUAAUAGCGUCACAGCUUAAUUGGAUUCUAGCUAAAUUCUAUCCUUUGCACUAAACCCUACACCACUAUUAAGCAAUUCUAUACAAAUUAUUGAAAAUUUUAUGUUAAAACUAGUAACAAGAAGCUAUACUUCUCUUUAAUGUAAAUUCAUAUCAGACUGGAUCAACCACUGAUAAAUAACACCCAUAACUAUAAAGUAGCAACUUCUCAAGAAAAUUCUUCUUUACCUAGUGUUAACCUGAUACAAGAACAUUUCAAGAAAGAUUAAAAGAAAAAGAAGGAACUCGGCAAAUAUUGACCCCGCCUGUUUACCAAAAACAUCGCCUCUUGCCCCAUAUAAGAGGUCCAGCCUGCCCAGUGACACUGUUCAACGGCCGCGGUAUCCUAACCGUGCGAAGGUAGCGUAAUCACUUGUUCUUUAAAUGAGGACUAGUAUGAAAGGCAUCACGAGAGUCAUACUGUCUCCUUUCUCUAAUCAGUAAAACUAAUCUCCCCGUGAAAAAGCGGGAAUAAAAUUAUAAGACGAGAAGACCCUAUGGAGCUUGAAACAAAUAACAUUUGCCUGUUUAUUACUUAAUUUCAGAAAAAUUUCUCUACUCUAGCAUUAUGAUUACUAGUUUUUGGUUGGGGUGACCACGGAACAAAAAUCAACUCCCGCAGUGAAAGACACUCCCUCACUAAGUCAAGGGCCACAACCCUAUGCAUCAACAAAUUGACAUUAAUUGACCCAACAUGUUGAUCAAUGAACCAAGUUACCCUAGGGAUAACAGCGCAAUCCACUUCAAGAGCUCCUAUCGACAAGUGGGUUUACGACCUCGAUGUUGGAUCAGGGUAUCCCAGUGGUGUAGCCGCUACUAAAGGUUCGUUUGUUCAACGAUUGAAACCCU
rnacentral:ncRNA from 1 species